AGAGUUUGAUCCUGGCUCAGGAUGAACGCUGGCGGCGUGCUUAACACAUGCAAGUCGAACGGUGAAGCUGGAGCUUGCUCCAGUGGAUCAGUGGCGAACGGGUGAGUAACACGUGAGUAACCUGCCCUUGACUCUGGGAUAAGCGUUGGAAACGACGUCUAAUACCGGAUACGAGCUUCAGUCGCAUGACUAGGAGCUGGAAAGAAUUUCGGUCAAGGAUGGACUCGCGGCCUAUCAGCUAGUUGGUGAGGUAACGGCCCACCAAGGCGACGACGGGUAGCCGGCCUGAGAGGGUGACCGGCCACACUGGGACUGAGACACGGCCCAGACUCCUACGGGAGGCAGCAGUGGGGAAUAUUGCACAAUGGGCGCAAGCCUGAUGCAGCAACGCCGCGUGAGGGACGACGGCCUUCGGGUUGUAAACCUCUUUUAGUAGGGAAGAAGCGAAAGUGACGGUACCUGCAGAAAAAGCGCCGGCUAACUACGUGCCAGCAGCCGCGGUAAUACGUAGGGCGCGAGCGUUAUCCGGAAUUAUUGGGCGUAAAGAGCUCGUAGGCGGUUUGUCACGUCUGCUGUGAAAACUGGAGGC
rnacentral:rRNA from 1 species